CUCAAUUGCCUCCAUGAUUGCUACAGUUGAUACUUCACAAAAAUCAUGGGCCCUUUUGCACACUCUAUAUGUAAACGAAAGCCACACGCGAAUCCCAAUCCUUAUGACCAACUUACUAAAGUCACAAAGCAAGCCAAAAGUGUUGUAAAAUAUCUACAACAAAUCAAGACCAUCACGAACGAGUCAGUUGUUGCUGAUUUUCCAAUUACCUUUGAAGAAUUUACAAUCAAGAUCCUUAGUAGUUUUUGUCCCCAAUAUUGAGAAGUUUUUGCUUCCAUUCGAAUCAGCCCAACACGAAUCAAAUAAAAGGAGUUAUUUCAAAAAUUUGUUGAUCAUGAACUCUUUCUCUAAGAGAAAUAAAUGCAUUUUCUUAUCACUACUGAAGAUGCAUAACGCAACACCAAUCCUUCUUCGUUUUCUCGUAAUACUUGUCUCCUUCUUCGUUUUUCUGUAAUAUUUGUCACAACAAUCAACUUUAAUCUUAUCGAUCACAAUUUUUUUAUCUUCAACACGUGUUGUUUUUUUUUUUUGUUAUUAUACUAUUAGUGUAGUAGCCAAUUUUGGCCCAGACAAAAAAUAAUAAUAAAUAAAACCCAAAAUAAACCCAAUAACCUAAAACCCUAAAGCCCAAGUCAGCCCACUAUCUUAAUUUUUUUUCUUUCAGCAGCCACCCUAACCGUAGCCACCAAAGUUCAGCCGUCACUCCCCCUCUGCCCUUGGCCAUCACGCGCGCCACCACCACCGCUUGGGGCACCAACCACCGGCCUCACAUGCCUCUGACACACCUGCAAAGAGAGACUAACACGCAAAAUACAAGGAAACAAAGAAGAAAAAACAAAAGAAAUAGUAGCAGACAACAAGCAAAAAAACAAAAAUGGAUUUAUGUAAUUCGGUUAUAAAAACCGAAACAUCCCUUUGUAGUUUUUUCUACGAAAGCAUAUUAAGGAAUCAAAAAAGGCAAAACAAAAAAGGUUGAUUUCAAUUUCUAUUUUCGUGUUCUUUUCGUUUUUUUAUAUUUUGUAUCACAUUUUUCAUUAGAUAUUUAUUCUCUAAACAAAAAGGGAGGGAAACACUUACCUAGACCGCACCGGAGUCGCGCCGUCGGAGCCUCAUCUCCGUCGACGGAGUCGAUUCCAAAAAGGGAGUAAAAGGAUCUCCUUUCCCCUCGUUUUUGGGUUGAAAACGUGGCCCCUGAUUGGUUCUGAAAUGGGGUUGAAAAAAAACCCGUCCCUGUGGCUCUAACCACCACCUACGAAGGAGCCGGGACGAUGGCGGCGAGGACGGGUCUCUAAACCCUAGCUGUAAGGGAGAAAAGGGGAGAGGGAGAGAGUAAAAGCUCUCUAUUUUGUUUUUUUAAAUGGGAAAAAUGAAAAGAAUUCAAAAAAAAAUUGGCUUUAAUAUCCAUGCAAAACGGUGAUGUUUUGCAAUCCCCCACACGUCUCGAAACGGCGCCGUUUAGGGGGGAACCCGUGUGUUUUAGACCAUUGGUAUAUUUCGCAGUGGGUCCUCCGCAUUUGUUAGCGUGUCUCAUCAAGGUCCCUUUUUAUUUUCUUUAUUUCUGCCACAAGAUUUUGUCUCCUCUCUC
rnacentral:lncRNA from 1 species